GACGAACGCUGGCGGCGUGCCUAAUACAUGCCAGUAGAGCGCACAGUUUAUACCGUAGCUUGCUACACCAUAGACUGUGAGUUGCGAACGGGUGAGUAACGCGUAGGUAACCUGCCUGGUAGCGGGGGAUAACUAUUGGAAACGAUAGCUAAUACCGCAUAAUAUUAAUUAUUGCAUGAUAAUUAAUUGAAAGGUGCAAUUGCACCACUACCAGAUGGACCUGCGUUGUAUUAGCUAGUAGGUGAGGUAACGGCUCACCUAGGCGACGAUACAUAGCCGACCUGAGAGGGUGAUCGGCCACACUGGGACUGGGACACGGCCCAGACUCCUACGGGAGGCAGCAGUAGGGAAUCUUCGGCAAUGGACGAAAGUCUGACCGAGCAACGCCGCGUGAGUGAAGAAGGUUUUCGGAUCGUAAAGCUCUGUUGUAAGAGAAGAACGGGUGUGAGAGUGGAAAGUUCACACUGUGACGGUAUCUUACCAGAAAGGGACGGCUAACUACGUG
rnacentral:rRNA from 1 species